AUAACACUUGGAAACAGGUGGUAAUACCGCAUAACCAUAGUUACCGCAUGGUAACUAUGUAAAAGGUGGCUAUGCUACCGCUUUUGGAUGGGCCCGCGGCGCAUUAGCUAGUUGGUGGGGUAAAGGCUUACCAAGGCAAUGAUGCGUAGCCGAACUGAGAGGUUGAUCGGCCACAUUGGGACUGAGACACGGCCCAAACUCCUACGGGAGGCAGCAGUAGGGAAUCUUCCACAAUGGGCGAAAGCCUGAUGGAGCAACGCCGCGUGGGUGAAGAAGGUCUUCGGAUCGUAAAACCCUGUUGUUAGAGAAGAAAGUGCGUGAGAGUAACUGUUCACGUUUCGACGGUAUCUAACCAGAAAGCCACGGCUAACUACGUGCCAGCAGCCGCGGUAAUACGUAGGUGGCAAGCGUUAUCCGGAUUUAUUGGGCGUAAAGGGAACGCAGGCGGUCUUUUAAGUCUGAUGUGAAAGCCUUCGGCUUAACCGGAGUAGUGCAUUGGAAACUGGGAGACUUGAGUGCAGAAGAGGAGAGUGGAACUCCAUGUGUAGCGGUGAAAUGCGUAGAUAUAUGGAAGAACACCAGUGGCGAAAGCGGCUCUCUGGUCUGUAACUGACGCUGAGGUUCGAAAGCGUGGGUAGCAAACAGGAUUAGAUACCCUGGUAGUCCACGCCGUAAACGAUGAAUGCUAAGUGUUGGAGGGUUUCCGCCCUUCAGUG
rnacentral:rRNA from 1 species